rnacentral:rRNA from 1 species
CAGUCGCCACGGGAAUACGUAGGUGGCAAGCGUUGUCCGGAAUUAUUGGGCGUAAAGCGCGCGCAGGCGGCUUCCCAAGUCCCCCUUAAAAGUGCGGGGCUUAACCCCGUGAUGGGAAGGAAACUGGGAAGCUGGAGUAUCGGAGAGGAAAGUGGAAUUCCUAGUGUAGCGGUGAAAUGCGUAGAGAUUAGGAAGAACACCGGUGGCGAAGGCGACUUUCUGGACGAAAACUGACGCUGAGGCGCGAAAGCGUGGGGAGCAAACAGGAUUAGAUACCCCAGUAGUCCCUGUCUCUUAUACA